UACGUAGGGGGCAAGCGUUGUCCGGAUUUAUUGGGCGUAAAGAGCGUGUAGGCGGCUUCACACGUCCGCUGUGAAAACUCGAGGCUCAACCUCGAGCUGUCGGUGGAAACUGUGUGGCUAGAGUCCGGAAGAGGAGAGUGGAAUUCCCGGUGUAGCGGUGAAAUGCGCAGAUAUCGGGAAGAACACCCGUGGCGAAGGCGGCUCUCUGGGACGGUACUGACGCUGAGACGCGAAAGCGUGGGGAGCGAACAGG
rnacentral:rRNA from 1 species